GGUUGGAGAAGGAGGCCAGUCAAUAUCCAAGCACGUUUUUUAGGUUAUCAUCUAUUUGGUAAUUCUGAACCUUUUCAAAAAAUUUGUGCUUGUUUUCAACUUAAUUUUUAAGAAGUGUACAAAAUUUGAAUUAAGAUCAAUGGUUCAUUCAUUAGUUAUUGAGAUUUAAUUCUAUUAUAGAAAUUACUAGGAUUUGGUUAGGAUUUGAUUUAGGAUUAGGAUUUGGUUAGGGUUUGAUUUAGGAUUAGGAUUUGAUUAGGGUUUUAUUUUGGAUUACAAUUUGGUUAGGAUUUGAUUUAGGAUUAGGAUUUAAUUAGGAUUUGAUUUAGGAUUUAGGAUUUGGUUUAGAAUUUAGGGUUUGGUUUAGGGAUAAAGAUUUGGUUAGGAUUUCAUCAGGAUUUAAUUUAAGAUUUAGGAUUUUAUUUGAGAUUAUUUAGGAUUUAAGAUUUAGUUAGUUUUUGGCCUAAUUUUGAAUGAAGUAAGAUUUCAACUAGGAUUAAAUUAAGAUUGAAUUGAGAUGUAUUUGAGAUAUGUUUAUAAUCAUUCUAAUAUUUCUUUAAGAUUUCUUAUUGUUUCUUUGGAAUUCUUUUGAGGUUUCUUUGAAUUUGAUUAAAGCUUGUUUAGCAUUGUUAGUAUUUUAUUAGAAUUAGAAU
rnacentral:lncRNA from 1 species